rnacentral:rRNA from 2 species
CUAAUGUUGAAAAAUUAGCGGAUGACCUGUGGCUGGGGGUGAAAGGCCAAUCAAACCGGGAGAUAGCUGGUUCUCCCCGAAAGCUAUUUAGGUAGCGCCUCGUGAAUUCAUCUCCGGGGGUAGAGCACUGUUUCGGCUAGGGGGCCAUCCCGGCUUACCAACCCGAUGCAAACUGCGAAUACCGGAGAAUGUUAUCACGGGAGACACACGGCGGGUGCUAACGUCCGUCGUGAAGAGGGAAACAACCCAGACCGCCAGCUAAGGUCCCAAAGUCAUGGUUAAGUGGGAAACGAUGUGGGAAGGCCCAGACAGCCAGGAUGUUGGCUUAGAAGCAGCCAUCAUUUAAAGAAAGCGUAAUAGCUCACUGGUCGAGUCGGCCUGCGCGGAAGAUGUAACGGGGCUAAACCAU